rnacentral:lncRNA from 1 species
AUUUGCUUCCUAACAACUUUGCUGUAAAAUUGAGGGAUCAUUGUUUGGUGAGUUGUUUUAGGUUAUUUCAGUUGGUGUGAUUUCAUUUAGUUAGCCUACUAAUCCUGAAAAUUUCUUGAAUCCUUCAAAUAAUGGCUGUCACCAUUUAUAGCUUUCCUAUAGAAGGAAUUCAUGUGUCCCCUGGUUGACUUAAGGACCAAGGGUCGAACUGCUCGAUAAGUGGAUUAGCAGGCGUUUCCUCUUUGACUUCCAGCCAUGUAAAUUGAACUUAAUGUUUUGCUGACCAUAAAUGUGUGGCCCUAGCAAUGGUCUUUUAAAACUCAGGAUUUUUCCUUUCUCUCUCCUAUUAUUAGACUUAUUCGUCUAAUGGAAGAGAUCAUGAGUGAGAAGGAGAAUAAAACCAUUGUUUUUGUGGAAACCAAAAGAAGAUGUGAUGAGCUUACCAGAAAAAUGAGGAGAGAUGGGUAUGUGUGAGCUCCUCCAUUGAAGCAGAUUGAUUAAAACAGCUUAGGAAAGGGCAAACUUGGAUCACGAGCAGUGGAUUUUUUUCAUAUCUGAUAGUGAAUUUAACUUUUUCAUUUCUGGCGAAAUUAAAGAGAUCUGUGACCAAAAGUGGUCAAGCACUGGAGUCUGAGGUUUUCAAUGUGAGUUUAAUAACACAACUUGUCUUUUAACUUAGGUGGCCUGCCAUGGGUAUCCAUGGUGACAAGAGUCAACAAGAGCGUGACUGGGUUCUAAAUGAAUUCAAACAUGGAAAAGCUCCUAUUCUGAUUGCUACAGAUGUGGCCUCCAGAGGGCUAGGUUAGUACAAACUCGCAUUCAUGGCUUGGUUUCCCAGAAGAUCUCCAUUUAACUUUUUUAAAGAAAGUUUAUUGCUUUCUUUAACCUGCAUUUUUUCUAAGUUUUUUUUCACAUAAAGGUGC